rnacentral:rRNA from 1 species
UACGUAGGGUGCGAGCGUUAAUCGGAAUUACUGGGCGUAAAGCGUGCGCAGGCGGCUCUUUAAGUCAGAUGUGAAAGCCCCGGGCUUAACCUGGGAACUGCGUUUGAAACUGGAGAGCUGGAGUGUGGCAGAGGGAGGUGGAAUUCCACGUGUAGCAGUGAAAUGCGUAGAGAUGUGGAGGAACACCAAUGGCGAAGGCAGCCUCCUGGGUCAACACUGACGCUCAUGCACGAAAGCGUGGGGAGCAAACAGG